GUGUGGUCACGUGACAAAUAAGGAAAAUGCCCGGUUCUUAUCCUCAACUCUGAAACUCCGGACUUCCGGUUCCUUCUAGCAUUUUUUUUCCCCCGAGGGGGGCGUGGAAAUUAGCCUUGGGUUGCUAGUAAAUUGUUGCCAGACGAGGCUAUAAUAUUACUGUGAUUCGACAAAAGUACACCCUACCCUACUCGAAGAAUCAGGAUAAACAUCUCCUUUCUGUUUAAAAGAUACAAUGGAAGAGGAACAAAUUUUACUGGACAAGACUUUUAAAAAAGCUUUCAAAGUAAAAGCUUAGUUAUUUCAUUACUAGGCUAAGUAACGUAAGUGCAUAAGUGAGGAAAAAAGUUGCAAGAAGAAAGCUCAAAGAAUAAGAACCCCAACAAUUCAACCAUGAGAAAGUUCUGACCACCACCUCUUAAUCACAGCCUGAAGCCAAUUUAAACCAACAAUUACAUAUCUAGGGGAAAAGAAAUCACUAUGGUUAAAGCUACAUUCAGCCGGAGAUUUCUACUGAACAGAACUUGGGCCAUUGUAUCAUGAUCUUCAGAAACCUAGAAACAGUGUAAGAACAGUGCAAGUGUUAUGAGCCAAGAACUAUGAUUUUAUGAAUUUUCUAUCAGCUGAGUCUAUUAAAGAUAUCUAUAUGCA